AGAGUUUGAUCCUGGCUCAGAUUGAACGCUGGCGGCAUGCCUUACACAUGCAAGUCGAGCGGCAGCGCGGGGGCAACCCUGGCGGCGAGCGGCGAACGGGUGAGUAAUACAUCGGAACGUGUCCAGUAGUGGGGGAUAACCAGUCGAAAGAUUGGCUAAUACCGCAUACGAUCUACGGAUGAAAGCGGGGGACCGCAAGGCCUCGCGCUAUUGGAGCGGCCGAUGUCGGAUUAGCUAGUUGGCGGGGUAAGAGCCCACCAAGGCGACGAUCCGUAGCUGGUCUGAGAGGACGAUCAGCCACACUGGAACUGAGACACGGUCCAGACUCCUACGGGAGGCAGCAGUGGGGAAUUUUGGACAAUGGGCGCAAGCCUGAUCCAGCCAUGCCGCGUGAGUGAAGAAGGCCUUCGGGUUGUAAAGCUCUUUCGGCGGGGACGAAACGGUCCGUGACAACACCACGGACUAAUGACGGUACUCGCAGAAGAAGCACCGGCUAACUACGUGCCAGCAGCCGCGGUAAUACGUAGGGUGCAGGCGUUAAUCGGAAUUACUGGGCGUAAAGCGUGCGCAGGCGGCUCCUUAAGUCAGAUGUGAAAUCCCCGGGCUUAACCUGGGAACUGCGUUUGAACUGGGGAGCUUGAGUGUGGAAGAGGGGGGUGGAAUUCCAGGUGUAGCAGUGAAAUGCGUAGAGAUCUGGAGGAACACCAAUGGCGAAGGCAGCCCCCUGGGCUAACACUGACGCUCAUGCACGAAAGCGUGGGGAGCAAACAGGAUUAGAUACCCUGGUAGUCCACGCCCUA
rnacentral:rRNA from 1 species